UUCAUGGCAAUGCAAUUAAAAAGUUGUUUUAGAAUCAUCAUGAAUGUACACACAGAACACGCAAACUCGGGUUCAGUCAGGUCAGAUUAGUUCGUGUCACAGAUAUGGAGCGCAGAAAGGCCAUUUUUCAUUACUAAAUAAAAAAAAUGGCAUUUAUUUAUGUAAGGCGCACACCACAUGUCUGUAAAUUCCUCAGCCCCAAAGCCCCCCUCCACCAUGGUUCUUAUAUUGCCAGAUUCAGGACAGUCUGCCCUACACAUACAUGAAAGUCAUGUCCAGCUGACAGAGAUACAU